AGUCCACGAAGUCUUCUACGGACAUAUCCUCCUGUUCCCCAAGAGGAUGGCACAGGGAGAGUUCUGAGUGGUCUCGGGCAAUGGCUGCAUUUGCUGUUGGCCUGUAAGCAGGCCAGAAGCAGAGGAAGAGAGAGAAGGCACUACUUGGUUUGGGACAAGUCAGAGGCGAAUAAAAGCUCUUCCUGCCUUGAAGAAGCUUACAGUUUUGUGGGAAAAUGAUCUGCAAUGGGAAUACAUACGAUAUGACAAAUGUUCUAUUAUGAAAAUGCAU
rnacentral:lncRNA from 1 species